rnacentral:rRNA from 1 species
GCAAGUCGAACGGCAGCACGGGUGCUUGCACCUGGUGGCGAGUGGCGAACGGGUGAGUAAUAUAUCGGAACGUACCUUAUCGUGGGGGAUAACGCAGCGAAAGCUGCGCUAAUACCGCAUACGCCCUGAGGGGGAAAGCGGGGGACCGUAAGGCCUCGCGCGAUUAGAGCGGCCGAUAUCUGAUUAGCUUGUUGGUGGGGUAAAAGCCCACCAAGGCGACGAUCAGUAGCUGGUCUGAGAGGACGAUCAGCCACACUGGGACUGAGACACGGCCCAGACUCCUACGGGAGGCAGCAGUGGGGAAUUUUGGACAAUGGGGGCAACCCUGAUCCAGCAAUGCCGCGUGAGUGAAGAAGGCCUUCGGGUUGUAAAGCUCUUUUGUCAGGGAAGAAACAGCAGCUCUAACACAGUCUGCGAAUGACGGUACCUGAAGAAUAAGCACCGGCUAACUACGUGCCAGCAGCCGCGGUAAUACGUAGGGUGCAAGCGUUAAUCGGAAUUACUGGGCGUAAAGCGUGCGCAGGCGGUUAUACAAGACAGGCGUGAAAUCCCCGGGCUUAACCUGGGAAUGGCGUCUGUGACUGUAUGACUAGAGUGUGUCAGAGGGGGGUAGAAUUCCACGUGUAGCAGUGAAAUGCGUAGAUAUGUGGAGGAAUACCAAUGGCGAAGGCAGCCCCCUGGGAUAACACUGACGCUCAUGCACGAAAGCGUGGGGAGCAAACAGGAUUAGAUACCCUGGUAGUCCACGCCCUAAACGAUGCCGACUAGUUGUUGGGAAUUUACAUUCUCAGUAACGUAGCUAACGCGUGAAGUCGGCCGCCUGGGGAGUACGGUCGCAAGAUUAAAACUCAAAGGAAUUGACGGGGACCCGCACAAGCGGUGGAUGAUGUGGAUUAAUUCGAUGCAACGCGAAAAAACUUUACUACCCUUGACAUGUCACUAACGAAGU